rnacentral:tRNA from 1 species
GCACCCGUAGCUCAGGCGGAUAGAGCGAUCGUUUCCUAAACGAUGUCUUGCGGGGGUUCGAAUCCCUCCGGGUGCGCCA